rnacentral:misc_RNA from 1 species
GAUGAAGAACGUAGCGAAAUGCGAUAAGUAAUGCGAAUUGCAGAAUUUCCGUGAGUCAUCGAAUCUUUGAACGCACAUUGCGCCCACUGGUAUUCCGGUGGGCAUGCCUGUUCGAGCGUCAUUUCACCACUCAAGCCUGGCUUGGUGUUGGGCGACGUCCCCUUUGGGGACGCGCCUCGAAACGCUCGGCGGCGUGGCACCGGCUUUAAGCGUAGCAGAAUCUUUCGCUUUGGAAGUCGGGGCCCCGUCUGCCGGAAGACCUACUCGCAAGGUUGACCUCGGAUCAGGCAGGGAUACCCGCUGAACUUAAGCAUAUCAAUAAGCGGAGGA